CAGCCUGGGGCUCGAGACCCAACUGGGUUCCACCGGUUCCACCAUUGAAGCUCGGUGGAUGACAGUGAACACAGUUCGUUCGUUGCUCGUCCAACAAUGGCCCGUCGUCACUCGAAAAUGGCCGUGAACCUGACCUUGUUGAACUCGACCAAUGCCUCGUCCGAGGACUAUGUCUAUGACUAUGACAUCGACGAUGCCCUCUAUGACUUUGAUUGGAUGGAGCUGGGCCCGAGUUUGUGCGUGUACUCGAUCACGUUCUUGGCGGGGAUCCUGGGAAACCUCUUGAUUUUGGUCUCUGUGAUUCGUCACACCCACGUGAAGAGCUCACCAGUGAACGUGUUUCUGGCUAGUUUAGCCACGGCUGAUUUGAUGCUCAUUGUUAUCUGUCUCCCAUUGAAGGUUUUCAAGCUCUUUACCUAUACUUGGACCCUGGGAUUGUUCAACUGUAAGCUCUUGUAUUUUAUGCAAAGCGUCUCUGCUAUCGGAUCCGUCAUCAACUUGACUGCGCUCAGUUUUGAAAGGUACUACGCCAUUGUUCACCCUCUCAAGUCUCAGUACUUGUGUACCAUCAGCAAGGCCAAGAAGACCAUCUUAGUGGCUUGGAUCGCAGCCUUCUUUUUGGCCAUUCCCGUUCUUUUCGCUCAAAUUCAUUUGGAAGUGGGCGUUCGCUAUAAGGCCUAUUGGUGCGUUCGUGACAUUGACAACCCGGCCAAAUGGAGGGCCCAAGAGCUCUAUCUGUUGUUGAUCAUCCUGGUGAUCCCCUCGGUGGUGAUGUCGUUCUGCUAUGGUAAAAUCAUCCGAGAAGUCUGCCAAGUGGUUCGACAACGGAGCAAUCUCACCCAAAACUACGGCAAGCCCAGUCUGGAAACAGAGCCUCCCGUUCGAGAUCAAACGGAAGUCAAGGAAGAUUUCACAAGCGUGAUUGAGCGUGAUUCCACGGAGGAUGACGCCAUUGGCGAAGAGACCUCGUUCAGCUUGCGCCCGCCCUCCUAUGAGAACGCCAUGGCCUCUCCCUUGACGCAGACUUCGCACUUCUCGUCCUCCCAAUCCAACUCGAGUCCCACCCAAAGCCAGGGGGGUCGAGGUCGUCAGGAGCGGAGUGGAUCGUCUUUGAAGAAAGUUGCCGCCAAAGUGUUGAGCUCUGUGGACCACAUGGGAUUGUGUGGUCGGAACUCGCCCAAGUUGGAUGAGGAGACCAAACAAGUCGUCAGAAUGCUCAUCUCAAUCGUCGUGUUGUAUAUCGUUUGUUGGGGACCACUGCUCAUUUUCAAUGUUAUGCAGAGUUUUGGGUUCAUCGGGAAGUUUUUAAUUGGAUUCCCAAAGUACCUGAAAACGGCAUUCAGUCUCAUGGCUUACUUCAACAGCUGUUUGAACCCUAUCAUAUAUGGGUUCAUGUCUAGGAACUUCAGGGACAGCUUCAUGGAGAACCUCAGUCUGUUCUGUAAAUGCGCCUCAAGAGAGCAGACUCGUCGAGCCCGCAAUGACAGUUUUGGCCGCUCCUAUUCGUUAAGAUGUCCACCAGUUCACUCGGUGGCAGCGAUCCCAAAACACGUCCCGAGUCGGCCAAAUUACUCGGUCAACGUGUAUACUUCUCCCGGGAAUGAGUACGCUCGCAACUACACCGUCACGUGAGUGGGAGCCUAGGGCGUGAUAUUCGACUCCGGACCGAUUCCUCCAAGAACCUCAAACCUGAUCUUUGACCUAGUAUUCCACCAGGAGAGAGACUACCUUCCUCGUUGACUUGUGUCUACCGUUAAUUGACAACUUGCUUGCCAAAACCGCAACACUAUAACUCAAUUCAACCACCUGACUGCCACAACUUCUUGGGAGACCAUUUUCAUCUUCACGAUUUUUUCUCACUCAGCUUGUCUCCCACUCCCACACAUCUCUUGCUCUGUCGCUUCGGCACGAAAAAAAAAAGAUGCUGUUCCCUAUCGUUUGGACAACCUGUGUCACUUUUGGCUUCUCACUCUGUGAGGAUUUUUAUCCCAAAGCCCUGUCAGGUUCCAUUUUCUAUUCCAGGAGUGAGCUUCCCUCAAGCACUGAAGCUAUGAUGUAAGAGGAUUUUGCAUAAAUAUUCAUUGUUCCACAUGUGUCAAUCUGUGUCCAAAGUCUCAAGUAGUAUUCCUGAUAUUAGCUGAUAUAUGUAUGUAUGUAUAUAUAUACAUAUACUGCCAGAAUGAAGUAUGAUCGCCCCUGACAGCAGAUCUGAAGUAUUCAAACUGCUUUAGAUGGUAAUGAAGGUGUUGUAUUUUGAUCUGGAACCGUGAGUGAACGGAUUCAUAUGGUACCAACAGGCAGCUAUAAUAAAUGUUAUGCCCAUGUUUUAGACGAUGAUCUCCUAGAAAAAAUACAAUAUUUGAAUGGAUUGCCUCCUUCUCGUUUUUUUCAUGUAUUUCCCAUCAACGUCAAGAAAUCCCCAGCUUUCCAAAUUCAGUGGGAGACAAUCAUGGCCAAGAACAAUUAGUAACACAUGACUUGGCAAUCUCAACUUGUCCUGAACCCCUGUGGUGUGUGUCUGGAAGUUUGAGCUCUAAUCGUGGAAAUGGUGGCACACAGAGGCUUCCAUGAGGCCUUUCCUUGCCACCUUUUGGAAUUAGUUGACCCUGUUUCUCCCACGAAAAAGUUGCACCACAAAAAGGUGGAAAUGGUUGCAAAGUGAUGGUGUGAAUUCCAAGUCCUCAGAAAUUCUUGUCAUGCUCUUGACCCAUAUUAAACGGCUUCCUUCGACUUGGCUCAACCUUGAAAGAUCAACGUCGAGUUUCGGAACCAUUAUACAACGGUCUUUUUAACAAGGAUUAUGGAAAUGAGAGUUCGCCUAUA